CAGCUACCUUGUCCCCUGUUGUGGCAGUUGGCACAGAAAAUUCUAGAUCUUCUCCCUUUGGCUCCAUUGUGUAGGGCAUUAGCAUGCAUGCCGUGCAGAAAACUAGUCUGGGCAACUCCUUGGCAUCAUUUAUUUAUUGUGAGGAAAAUGAAAAGGGGGAUGUAAAUGAACCUUCACCACUUUGAAAUUAAACGAAGUUUCACCGUCUGUGCAACCUUUCUGACUAAUGUAUGUAUGGAAAAUGAGCCUGACCUUUGGAGAUUUGGAACAAUAGAAGUAUGUUUGUCCAAGAUGAAAUCUACAAAAUGGGCACUUAAUAAGAUCUUCACAUCUGGCCAGUUAUUUUCUUUUUCUAGUUCAAGGGCAAGAAAAUGAUCUAAAUAAAUAGAUUUUGACAGGAGGCCAAUUCUGCUGCCAGAAUUACACUAAUUAAAUAUGCAUAAUUCUCUUAAUUAGAAAAAAAUAAAAUAA